rnacentral:rRNA from 1 species
AUUGAACGCUGGCGGCAUGCUUUACACAUGCAAGUCGAACGGUAACAGGCCGCAAGGUGCUGACGAGUGGCGAACGGGUGAGUAAUGCAUCGGAACGUGCCCAGUCGUGGGGGAUAACUACUCGAAAGAGUAGCUAAUACCUCAUACGAUCUAUGGAUGAAAGCGGGGGACCGUAAGGCCUCGCGCGAUUGGAGCGGCCGAUGUCAGAUUAGGUAGUUGGUGGGGUAAAGGCUCACCAAGCCAACGAUCUGUAGCUGGUCUGAGAGGACGACCAGCCACACUGGGACUGAGACACGGCCCAGACUCCUACGGGAGGCAGCAGUGGGGAAUUUUGGACAAUGGGGGCAAGCCUGAUCCAGCAAUGCCGCGUGCAGGAAGAAGGCCUUCGGGUUGUAAACUGCUUUUGUACGGAACGAAACGGCUCUGGUUAAUACCCGGGGCUAAUGACGGUACCGUAAGAAUAAGCACCGGCUAACUACGUG